CGCAGGAGGAAUGGAUCAUUGCUCGAGGUUUCUGCAUCCAGUCUUCUUCGUCAUCUGCUGCUACCUCCGUCUCCAGUUCAGUGAUACAGAGCUCAAUCUCACUCUUCACCGCCUCUCUUCAAGCGUGUAGGGUUUUGCCGUGUCCUCCUUGAGGUGUGGUAUUUUUACGUUGUGGUGGAGUUAUUUCGAAACUUUCAGGCAAAGAUGAGCGCCGGAAGAAGGAAUAAAAUGAACUUGGGAGGCUUUGUACGUUAUGCUUGUCAUUGCUGUGAGCGUUAUGGUGCGCUGUCGGUUUGCCUGUUAGGUUUUCCUCUGAGAGGGUUUCCUUUUUGGUGACGAAGGUCGUCGUUUCAGAUAGGCUGCGGAGGGAGGAUCGUUGUUUGAUUUGAAGGAUUUGGAGAUUGAAGGAGAAGUUAGGAUUCCUGUUUUUGCACUUAUUUUUGGAUUUUGUCCAUGGCGAUGGACGAUCUGUCCGGCCUAAUCUGCCGCUGUUGCAGCAGCGCUUGCAGCAGCGACUCUAUAUUCCGCUCUCCUCGUCACGCUAGCUAAUCAUUAACCGUUCGAGUGCGUGUCUGGUUCGUCGGUGUCCAUCGGAGGCUGUCUUUGACUCUUCCUUGUGUGACAAAGGAUUUGUUCCAGCCAUCUGAUGUAUGCGUACAAUCUGGACUUAUUCUGCGUGGUAGCUUGAGUGUCGUGGUGGUGGAGUUAAGGUGUGAUAGCCAGAUAAUAGUCUUCGUUUCCAUUUUCCCCCUGGUGGUAUUAGCUAAGUAAGUUGUGCAGGGGUACGUAAGAUCGGCAUUCUGCUUUCCGCGUUGCUGUGAAUGUGUUUCUGCUUGCAAGUCUGAUUUCAGUUUCUUUCCCUCCCACGUGGUUGGAAUCGCCAUCGGUGGUAGUUGGUCCCACCGACUGUUUCGAUACUCUGGUCACUGUGUGCAGGGUCUGUGAAUCCAUCAAACCCACAUCAGUAGUGCGUCACCCCCUUGGCGAUGCUUUACGUUUCCGACAGCGCCAAGUCUUACUAAUCUGAAUGUUUACACGGCAUUGGUCCUUUGACACUGCACACAUCUGUGGCUGAUUUGUAAGCGUACCUACGCAGCUGUGCUCAGUCUCAAACUCUUCAAAUGUGCUGUCUUUCUUCACUGUCAUGACCGCGCUUCCGGGCUGCUGCAUACCAGAUAGAUUGAAGGCCGUGGCCAACCUCUUUCCAAAAAGAUCUACACUUUAUCCCCGAGAAAAGCUUCACCCUGCGCGGUAAGCUGAGACAGUGCGCUGUCCCUUGGGAUCACUCUUCUCUGUCAAGCUUCAAUCUAUAGACGUUUACCUAUUGACACUUCGCUCCUACCCAUAUGCACCUGUGCAGUGAGGUCCAGGUCGCGGAAGUACAUAGCUAAGCCGUCGAGUCUGUCGGUUCACAUUACUAUUUAAUGUCAACCAAUUCCCUCCCCCGUCUCCUGUUCCGUAGUCCCUAAAUUCCUCUAUUGAAACAAGCCAAACCCCAUUGGAAGUUGUCGAACCUUUUAGGACUGUGCCUGCCUCUCUUCUGCCCUGUCCAUUCUUGUAUGUGACUUUUAUUUCUGCACUGUCAACUUCUGAAUUCUUCUCCGAGUUGAUCAGUUUAUGUAUUUUUAGAACCUUAAAAAUUGAAUACCAUGAUUAUGAAUAAUUAAGUGAAUGUGUUAUUUUGUUUUUGCAUGAGUAGUGUUUUUUUUUUUUUUGUUUGUUUGUUUGUUGUGUAGUGUGUAAAUUAGUUGUAUAUAAUUAUGAAAAGUUGGAUAAGAAAUGAAAUUUUGAUUUUUGUUGGAUGGUAAUGCUUAAUGAAUUGGUGAUAGGAGGAUAAGGUAUUAUUCAUAAGUGAAAGGAGAAGAAUAUAAGAGUAGAUUGAAGAGAGCAUUUGUACAAUAUAAUACCAAUUGUAAGAUGAUAUAAGGAAGAGUUUAUAAGUUGGAAUUUGUAUAGUUUGUGAAGUUGUAAGUAUGUGGACUAGAGAAGGUCUUGGAUUAGAGAGAGGGAUAAUGAUAAAUAGAAGAAAAUUAUUGCAUGAUUUUAAGUGUAAUUUUUAAGAUUAAAUAUGCCACUCAUAAAUACUUGAAGUAUUUAGGAUUGUGAGUUUGGACUUUUUUGAAAAGUGGAUUUUGAACAUUAUUAAACAGGUGUAAUAUUUGACA